GAGAGAGAGUGUGUGUGUGUGUGGGAGGGAGGGAAACACGUGGAGGGAACAGCAGGAGACAGACAGACAGACAGACAGACAGACAGACGGUGCAGGGGAUUUUCUUCCUUAUUAAUUUACUAUUUUGAAGCCUGAGGAGGAGGAGGAGGAAGAAGAGUAGACGGAAUUAAGAAAGCUGGAAGAUUUGAUUUGAUGAAGAAGUUUUAAUGGAAUUCCAUGUACGGAAAAAUGACUACACACACACACACACACACACACACACACACAUACACACGUUUCUCUGGAGUCUCCAGUGGCGUGUUAAGAUAGUGUGGAAAAAAAGAUAAUAAUUAGGAAGAGAAGCUUAUAUUGUCAUCAGCAAGUUACGUGAUUAAUAUCAUUUUACAACGAAACUUAAAUAUAGUGACAUCUGGCACUUCAAAACUCAAAUGCCAGAUACCUCUACAUUUAAACGUACACCAAUAUUAAUACUGUCCUCAUCCUUUCCUCCUCCUCCUUUCCUGCGAACACUCUUUAUCUAUACACACCAAAUCUCUUCAUCUAUUAGUCUUUUUCUCACAGUUAUUAGUGCUUACUGUCAUCAAGCAGCCGAGGAAGAAACUUAAAAGCUGUUGGUGUUUAUCCUGUGUCAUGUGCUGCUUUGUAUCGUGGACGCCGAAGAGGAGUAGGAGGAGGAGUAGCAAGAGGAGGAGGACGUGGAUAUGUGUGGAGGAGGUCCGAGGAGAGCGUUCAACCAUACGUGAUAUUCAGCAAGGAAAUGACAGGAGAAAUAGCUGCAGCAAUAGUAUCAAAUUCCCGGUUUUGUAAGAGCUGCUCAACCAACCACAUCGGGACCCACUCCAAGCCUCUCUGGACCCCCGGAGAACCACCACUCACUCACUCACACGCACGCACGCUACUGCAACGCCACACCCAGCCCGCCUCCACUCCUCCACCCUCUCACCUGCAGUACUCCACCUACUCCCGGACCCCUGCAACACCUUCUCCACCCCUCCACACCUCUACUGCCACCGUUUGAAACCCCACCCAUCGCCUCGCUCUCCUCCAUCAUUAGUAAAGGGCCGUGGGCGGGGUAGGAAAGGUCAGUCUCGUCAAGGCAAAGUCCAGCUAUUGGCAGUCUGCGUGUCCAAUAAUUUGCCAAUAUUUCUCCGCCAGUCAGAGAAGAGAACACGAGUGACGUCACGGCCAUGGUGAGAU